rnacentral:lncRNA from 1 species
GAGGUGAAAGGAAAGGAAGAUGAUGAAGAGUGUUAAAAGAUGAGAUGGAGGGUGUUGAAUCUUGAAACCAUUGUGGAUAGUCUAAAAUGUGGUAAUUAAAUUUUUUUUAUUCAACAGUUUAAACCAUUAAAAGAGAUAGUUUGAUUUUUAAAAUGCGUACGUGGAUUAAAUGGAGUUGAAAUCAUUCAACUAAUUGAAUAUCCCAAAAUGUGGGACUAUUGGUGAUAGAUGAAACUUUCUAAAUAUUUCUUAUUUUUUAUAUCCUCCUAAUUACUUAAAAUCAAUAGACUCAUUAUUAAUUAAAUGACUUAUUUUUGUUUCAUAUAUAAAUUUUUAUUUUUUUGAAUUCUCUAUAAACAAAUACUAUGUUUAUUUAUAUUGAAUAUAAAAAUAAUUUUUAAUUAGUAAAAUAGGAUGUUGAAUUUUAUUAAAGAA